rnacentral:rRNA from 1 species
GAUGAACGCUGGCGGCGUGCCUAAUACAUGCCAGUCGAGCGAACGGACGAGAAGCUUGCUUCUCUGAUGUUAGCGGCGGACGGGUGAGUAACACGUGGAUAACCUACCUAUAAGACUGGGAUAACUUCGGGAAACCGGAGCUAAUACCGGAUGAUAUUUUGAACCGCAUGGUUCAAAAGUGAAAGACGGUCUUGCUGUCACUUAUAGAUGGAUCCGCGCUGCAUUAGCUAGUUGGUAAGGUAACGGCUUACCAAGGCAACGAUGCAUAGCCGACGUGAGAGGGUGAUCGGCCACACUGGAACUGAGACACGGUCCAGACUCCUACGGGAGGCAGCAGUAGGGAAUCUUCCGCAAUGGGCGAAAGCCUGACGGAGCAACGCCGAGUGAGUGAUGAAGGUCUUCGGAGCGUAAAACUCUGUUAUGAGGGAAGAACAUAUGUGUAAGUAAAUGUGCACAUCGUGACGGUACCUAAUCAGAAAGCCACGGCUAACUACGUG